rnacentral:lncRNA from 1 species
GUACUGUGUAUCUUUUUCUCUUUCUUACAGUGCUUCUCUGGUACUCUGAAAUAUCUACAGGAUCCGCUAUGUAUGUCUACAUAUGUGACCUGAAAAUAUGAAGGAAUUAAUAGCCCCAUGGGGCAGCCCUUGCCUGGUGCUAGACGACAGACAACGGCUCCUUCUGUCUUUGGCCAGGAUGAUUUGAGGACUAGCUUGUCACUGGAGCCCUGUGCCUGAAGAGGGCAUGUGGAAGGGCUGAAAAUGCCUUUCCCAUCAUUUGUCUCCAGGGAACUUUGCUCUUAAAGGAAGACUAAAGACCAUGGAAACUUCUCUUUGACUUAACAAGGAUUUUCAGCAUCUCUGAUUUGCACACAGCCUGCAUUUGGUGUUGCUGGAGUGGGACAGAAAGAGCACAAAUGAAACCCCAGGUUCUGCCUUCAAGGCACUGCCAAGCUAGAAGAAGAGGUUAAUCUGCUCUGAGGCACUCUGGAGAUUUUUCAGUCCUGAAGAAUUUUUCUUUCAUCUGACAACCGAUCAACCUUGGGAUUCCAAAGAUGUCAGGACUUGAGCCUGAGAAGAUGUAGCACAGGGUCUCAGGGCUGGACUUCAGUAGAUACAGAUCUGUCCCAAACAGCGAUCUGUUCAUAGACAUCUACAAGCUAAAAGUCAGUCACCUCCAUGGACUGUCCAGCCCCAUCUUUGCUGUCCAGAUCUUCGGGGCUGCUAUGACUCUGAAAUGAGGCCGUGAUGCGAUCUGCAUAGGUUAAGAGGGUCCAGCUCUCUGGCUACGGUGACUUGAGUGUUAUGAUGUGGAUCUGGAGUGCUCCCCAUGUCACUUGUGCUAAAGGGUUGGUUGCCAGACUGCGGCAUUAUUGGGAGAUGGUGGGAAUACAGGAC